UCUCGAUGCACUUUCAUCUUCGAGAACAAACACACACACACACCCCACUUCCCCGUGUUUCCCCCUUCCCCAAUCUCUCAAACCUUCUCCCUCAUUCCUCUCCUUGUUUUUUCUCCUCCAUCUCUGCAACUCUCAUUCCCGGAGCAAACACACCACAUCCACACCCACACUCCACCGCGACCUCUACCACAGUGUUUCACACUUUCUCGAAGACUAUUUUCUCCUCGGUCUCCUCCCUCUCGAUCUCUCUCUCCCUUAGUCUAUUUCUCUCCCCCGAAGCCUCUGUCUCCGAUUUCUCACUCCUUUCGGAUCUGUCGAUUCUCAACCUCUUCCUUCUCGAUCUUUCUCCCCAGUCUCUCUCUUUCUAUCUCGAUGCCUCUGUCUCCGAUCUGCGCAACUUCACCGGUUUUCGUUCCCUCCCGAACCGAAGAUCGUCCAAAGGGAUCUCGAUCGAGAGGUUUCGGAUGCGGUGGAACAAGCAGAGGAUCUGGGCGGGCGAAUUCUGAGCAGGACUAGAUCGGGUCGGGCUUGGCCAAGACGAGGUCUUGAAGCGAUUUGAGGAUGGAGUCUUACGACUACUUCUUCAAGUGUCAGAAAAUCUUGCUUGCUGUUGCAAUUCAAGGAUAAGAGGUUCCAACCUGUGCAUGAUUUUACCAUCGGCGUCGAGUUCGAAGCUCCAAUGGUCACCAUCGAUGGUCGUCCCUUCUUGUUUUCUGUUUGGCUACUGAGAAAAUAGAAUUUUCAUGGUGAAUUGGUUUUAUGGUUUUGUACCAGAUUUGGAAACGGCGCGGCAAGCAAAUGUGGAUCUUAAUGUAGGAAACCGAGUUGAAGAUCUGGAAAAUGGCGAGUCUGGGAGGCAGUCAAAACUAGAAAAAAAAAAAAAAAAAGUAAGAAGGACCCAUCCGGUUCCAGUGGUCAGAUUUGCAACACCUAGCCCAGCUUGUCCCGUUUCCAUUUUAAAUGGAUCGACCCAGAACUGGAACACCAUUUCAGCUCUUAUGACAUUUUUGGUUAUCAAAGCAAGACUACCAUCAAAGACAAAUUUGGUGGAGGAUUAUGGCGGGAAAGGUGGAGGUGAGGCUUCCUCUCAAUCUUCAUUGGGAACUUCAGCUCUACCUCUCCCGCCAAAUAAUUUUAUACUAAUUGUUUGCUUGUGGCAUUUGGUACGCUAUUUACGGCUUGAGAAACCUUGUCCUCCAUUAAUUUGGAGUGAGUAAGAAGAGGGUAUGGAGUUCACUUGUGAAGCGGAUGCUAGAAACUUCUACAGUGCAUACGCUAGAAAAACCGGAAUUGGUGUUCGUGCGAACUCACUAUUGUUCGAUGAUUACAUCUUAGACCGUUUUGUUAUUCAAAACAAGGCUUGUGAACGUCAUAUUUGGAAAUAAUCUAGAUCGCAAAGUCACCAAAUUCAACAUAAGUCAGUUACAGAGUCAUUCCACCAACUCCUCAUUCAUUCAAAUUCACGACCAAGUAUCUACAAUGCAUACACUAAACAAAUCCGAAUUAGGGUACGGACUUGUCCCAAUCUGCUAGGCGUUGUCCCAAUCUACAACACACACAACAAACCGGAAUUAGGGGAUGGACUUGUCCGAAUCUGCUAGGUGUUGUAUCCACUGGAUCCGAGCAAUGAAUGAGCCAGUGCAUAUUGGGAUAACGACUGUCACGGCCGAAAACCCUAGAGGGAGGUGAGGGCCUUUAGGACCGUUUGAAAGACAAUGUCGGAGCUGCAGAACAACAUUCCAGGACUGAGGUUGGGACGGGGGGUGGAGCAGGUUGUCCUCGCGGAGAAGGAGCGUCUGGUCAUCGUCCGAUUUGGCCGCGUUGGGUUCGAGACUUGUACUUGUACGGAGGUGGCAACUUGAAACCCACACUAGAUUUUAUAUUUAUUUAUUUGUUCAUUUAUCUUACUGAUGACAGACAUUUCACAUUUUGAAUCACUGUAUGAGAUGCGUUCUAAUCACCAGGUCCCAGUUUUUCUCUA